UCCAGACUCCUACGGGAGGCAGCAGUGGGGGAUAUUGGACAAUGGGGGGAACCCUGAUCCAGCGAUGCCGCGUGAGGGAAGAAGGUUUUCGGAUUGUAAACCUCUGUGGACAGGGACGAUAAUGACGGUACCUGUCAAGAAAGCCACGGCUAACUACGUGCCAGCAGCCGCGGUAAUACGUAGGGGGCAAGCGUUAUCCGGAUUUACUGGGUGUAAAGGGAGCGUAGACGGUGCAGCAAGUCUGGAGUGAAAGGCAGGGGCCCAACCCCUGGACUGCUCUGGAAACUGUUGUACUUGAGUGCAGGAGAGGUAAGUGGAAUUCCUAGUGUAGCGGUGAAAUGCGUAGAUAUUAGGAGGAACACCAGUGGCGAAGGCGGCUUACUGGACUGUAACUGACGUUGAGGCUCGAAAGCGUGGGGAGCAAACAGGAUUAGAUCCCCGUGUA
rnacentral:rRNA from 1 species